rnacentral:rRNA from 1 species
CUACGGGCCGCUGCAGUGGGGAAUAUUGCACAAUGGGCGCAAGCCUGAUGCAGCCAUGCCGCGUGUAUGAAGAAGGCCUUCGGGUUGUAAAGUACUUUCAGCGGGGAGGAAGGGAGUAAAGUUAAUACCUUUGCUCAUUGACGUUACCCGCAGAAGAAGCACCGGCUAACUCCCUGCCAGCAGCCGCAGUAAUACGGAGGGUGCAAGCGUUAAUCGGAAUUACUGGGCGUAAAGCGCACGCAGGCGGUUUGUUAAGUCAGAUGUGAAAUCCCCGGGCUCAACCUGGGAACUGCAUCUGAUACUGGCAAGCUUGAGUCUCGUAGAGGGGGGUAGAAUUCCAGGUGUAGCGGUGAAAUGCGUAGAGAUCUGGAGGAAUACCGGUGGCGAAGGCGGCCCCCUGGACGAAGACUGACGCUCAGGUGCGAAAGCGUGGGGAGCAAACAGGAUUAGAUACCCCAGUAGUC